rnacentral:rRNA from 1 species
GACGAACGCUGGCGGCGUGCUUAACACAUGCAAGUCGAACGGAAAGGCCCUGCUUUUGUGGGGUGCUCGAGUGGCGAACGGGUGAGUAACACGUGAGUAACCUGCCCUUGUCUUUCGGAUAUUUUCAGGAAACUGGGGCUAAUACCGGAUAGGAUCUUCUGCUGCAUGGUGGGGGUUGGAAAGUUUCGGCGUUUGGGGAUGGACUCGCGGCUUAUCAGCUUGUUGGUGGGGUAGUGGCUUACCAAGGUUUUGACGGGUAGCCGGCCUGGGAGGGUGGACGGCCACAAUGGGACUGAGAUACGGAGCAGAAGCGUACGGGAGGCAGCAGUGGAGAAUAUUGCAGAACGGGCGGGAGCCUGAUGCGGAAACGCCGGGUGCGGGAUGACGGCCUUCGGGUUGUAAACCGAUUUCGCCUGUGACGAAGCGUGCGUGACGGUAAUGGGUAAAGAAGCAACGGCUAACUACGUG